CGAGUGAAGCGGGAUGAGCUCAAAUUUAAAAUCUGGCGGUCUCAGAUCGUCCGAGUUGUAGUCUAGAGAAGCGUUUUCCGUGCUGGCCUGUGUACAAGUCCGUUGGAACACGGCGUCAUAGAGGGUGAGAAUCCCGUCCUUGACACAGAUCUCCAGUGCUUUGUGAUGCGCUCUCAAAGAGUCGAGUUGUUUGGGAAUGCAGCUCAAAAUGGGUGGUAAAUUCCAUCUAAAGCUAAAUAUUGGCGAGAAACCGAUAGCGAACAAGUACCGUGAGGGAAAGAUGAAAAGCACUUUGGAAAGAGAGUUAAACAGUACGUGAAAUUGUUGAAAGGGAAACGAUUGAAGUCAGUCAUGCUUUCCGAGACUCAGCCGGUUCUGCCGGUGUACUUCUCGGUUUGCAGGCCAGCAUCAGUUUUGGGCGGUGGAAAAGGUUGGCGGGAAUGUGGCAUCCUCGGAUGUGUUAUAGCCCGCUUUCGAAUACAUCGCCCGGGACUGAGGAACGCAGCACGCCUCUUGUAGGUCGGUCUUCGGACACGUCCGUGCUUAGG
rnacentral:rRNA from 1 species